GAUGAACGCUAGCUACAGGCUUAACACAUGCAAGUCGAGGGGAAACGACAUCGAAAGCUUGCUUUUGAUGGGCGUCGACCGGCGCACGGGUGAGUAACGCGUAUCCAACCUGCCCAUCACUUGGGAAUAACCUUGCGAAAGUAAGACUAAUACCCAAUGAUAUCCCACGAAGGCAUCGGAAUGGGAUUAAAGAUUUAUCGGUGAUGGAUGGGGAUGCGUCUGAUUAGCUUGUUGGCGGGGUAACGGCCCACCAAGGCAACGAUCAGUAGGGGUUCUGAGAGGAAGGUCCCCCACAUUGGAACUGAGACACGGUCCAAACUCCUACGGGAGGCAGCAGUGAGGAAGAUUGGUCAAUGGGCGAGAGCCUGAACCAGCCAAGUAGCGUGCAGGAUGACGGCCCUAUGGGUGGUAAACUGCUUUUAUAAGGGAAUAAAGUGGGUCUCGUGAGACUUUUUGCAUGUACCUUAUGAAUAAGAACCGGCUAAUUCCGUG
rnacentral:rRNA from 1 species